AUCGCUUCUCGGCCUGUUGGCUAAGAUCAAGUUCUUACCAGUUUAAUAUCUGAUACGCCCCUAUCUGGGAGCCAUAUAUUAAAUCUAGCACUUUUGUGUACAAUCGUCCUUAUUAAGAAGCAUUAAAGGUUAAUGUAUCUAUCAAUACUUUCUGUCCUUAACAAGGUACUAGGAAUCAUUCAU
rnacentral:snRNA from 1 species